rnacentral:rRNA from 1 species
UACGGGGGGGGGAAGCGUUGUUCGGAAUUACUGGGCGUAAAGCGCACGUAGGCGGACUAUUAAGUCAGGGGUGAAAUCCCGGGGCUCAACCCCGGAACUGCCUUUGAUACUGGUAGUCUCGAGUCCGGAAGAGGUGAGUGGAAUUCCGAGUGUAGAGGUGAAAUUCGUAGAUAUUCGGAGGAACACCAGUGGCGAAGGCGGCUCACUGGUCCGGUACUGACGCUGAGGUGCGAAAGCGUGGGGAGCAAACAGG